UUCACGAGACAACAAAGUGGUGGGAAAAAAAGUGACUCUGUUCUUUGGACUGAAUUAUGGAGCAGUCACAGGCAGCGUAUACAUCAGACCAGUGAAAAAUGGCAAAAAAUGAAUGAACCAGGAUUUUUCAGCUCUGCCAUCCCAACACAACAGAGGACACAGAGAAUAUGUUAGUCACAACAUUAUACAGGAGGGGAGAAAAACAGGAACCACAAUGCUGAGUGAUGAAGAUGAAGCCCUGAAGAAGAGAAUGUUCCCCUGCAGAAAAUUGGUUUAAUUAAUAGCACAUUUUACAUAAUGAUUACAGUGUAAUUGCGCCGACUAGCAGAGUGUCAUUAAAUAUAUCCUUGCUCCUUUACAACACCCUCUGGCGAAAAAUAAUGAGUUACAUUGGAAAUCACUAUGCAACAGGUUCAUAAAUAACAUUUAAGCCCAUACAAGGCAAGUACUUAUAAAUAAUAAAUAUUUGCCUUUUGUAAUUGAACAAAAAAUGACUGCCUCUUCUUUUCCUGGGCAUGCUGCUUUGUCCCAUUAUGGCCGGUGAAAGGAGAAUUUUCUCAUUUUUUCUCCCCUUGUAAGUGGUGAAUAAUUUAUUUCACGGCUAAUAGUCAACACUGUCAAUGCGGGGUGUUUAAAAUAUACCUGUGUCCAGAUAAAUGUCAUGACGGCGGGGGAAGUGAUUAUUCCCUGCUUCCAGAUAUUUUGUUGGAUGCAGGC